rnacentral:rRNA from 1 species
GAUUCUGGCUCAGGAUGAACGCUAGCUACAGGCUUAACACAUGCAAGUCGAGGGGCAGCAGGACGAUAGCUUGCUAUUGUUGCUGGCGACCGGCGCACGGGUGAGUAACGCGUAUCCAACCUUCCCCUUAGUAGGGCAUAGCCCGGUGAAAAUCGGAUUAAUACCCUAUGUUGUGUCAUGAGGACAUCUGAAUAACACUAAAGAUUUAUCGCUAAGGGAUGGGGAUGCGUCCGAUUAGGUAGUCGGCGGGGUAACGGCCCACCGAGCCCUCGAUCGGUAGGGGUUCUGAGAGGAAGGUCCCCCACACUGGUACUGAGACACGGACCAGACUCCUACGGGAGGCAGCAGUGAGGAAUAUUGGUCAAUGGGCGUAAGCCUGAACCAGCCAAGUAGCGUGCAGGAUGACGGCCCUAUGGGUUGUAAACUGCUUUUAUACGGGGAUAAAGUGAGGGACGUGUCCCUUAUUGUAGGUACCGUAUGAAUAAGGACCGGCUAAUUCCGUGCCAGCAGCAGC